rnacentral:rRNA from 1 species
AUAACUAAGCGGAGGAAAAGAAACUAACCAGGAUUCCCCCAGUAACGGCGAGUGAAGCGGGAAGAGCUCACGUUGUAAAUCUGCCUUCGGGCCGAAUUGUAGUCUGGAGAGGCGUGACCAGCCGUGGACGGGGGCGAAGUCUCUUGGAAAAGAGCAUCAAGGAGGGUGACAAUCCCGUUCUUGCCCCCAGUCCGCGCGCGUACGGUCCGUUUUCUACGAGUCGAGUUGCUUGGGAUUGCAGCUCAAAGCGGGUGGUAAAUUCCAUCUAAAGCUAAACACGGGUGGGAGACCGAUAGCGAACAAGUACCGUGAGGGAAAGAUGCAAAGAACUUUGAAAAGAGAGUUAAAGAGUGCCUGAAAUUGCUGAAAGGGAAGCGAAGGAAACCAGUGUCUGAUAGUUUCGCUUCUCCGCCGCCCCUCGGGGCAGCGGUUUGCGUUUCUGUCGUGGCCAGGGCCGGGUACCGUUGCGGGAGCCUGCGCCUCGGAAGGUAGCCUCUCCUCGGAGGGUGAAUACCGUGGCGUAUCGUCGCGAUGGUGGCCGGUUCUGACGAAAUGGUUUUCUUUAC